UGGGGAAUAUUGGACAAUGGGCGAAAGCCUGAUCCAGCCAUGCCGCGUGUGUGAAGAAGGUCUUCGGAUUGUAAAGCACUUUAAGUUGGGAGGAAGGGCAGUAAGCGAAUACCUUGCUGUUUUGACGUUACCGACAGAAUAAGCACCGGCUAACUCUGUGCCAGCAGCCGCGGUAAUACAGCGGGUGCAAGCGUUAAUCGGAAUUACUGGGCGUAAAGCGCGCGUAGGUGGUUCGUUAAGUUGAAUGUGAAAGCCCCGGGCUCAACCUGGGAACUGCAUCCAAAACUGGCGAGCUAGAGUAGGGCAGAGGGUGGUGGAAUUUCCUGUGUAGCGGUGAAAUGCGUAGAUAUAGGAAGGAACACCAGUGGCGAAGGCGACCACCUGGGCUCAUACUGACACUGAGGUGCGAAAGCGUGGGGAGCAAACAGG
rnacentral:rRNA from 1 species